GCCUAGCUGGUUCAGUCAUGAGAGCAUGGGACCCUUGAUCUCAGGGUUGUGAGUUCGAGCCCCACGUUGGGUG
rnacentral:tRNA from 1 species